AUCCAACUGACCAGUCCUAAAUAGGACGAAACACUCAUCUUAGAU
rfam:Schistosoma curassoni strain Dakar, Senegal genome assembly, scaffold: SCTD_scaffold0003334